rnacentral:rRNA from 1 species
GCCAGCCGCUCAGGUGUGCCAGCCGCCGCGGUAAUACGUAGGUGGCAAGCGUUAUCCGGAUUUAUUGGGUGUAAAGGGCGUGUAGGCGGGAAUGCAAGUCAGAUGUGAAAACUAUGGGCUCAACUCAUAGCCUGCAUUUGAAACUGUAUUUCUUGAGUGCUGGAGAGGCAAUCGGAAUUCCGUGUGUAGCGGUGAAAUGCGUAGAUAUACGGAGGAACACCAGUGGCGAAGGCGGAUUGCUGGACAGUAACUGACGCUGAGGCGCGAAAGCGUGGGGAGCAAACAGG